CUUCGGAAGGUCCCAGAGCCAGGAUGUACACACACUCUGAUGCCAAAGUACAUGUGUUCAGCCCUCAUUGUGGAGGUUCUCAGGUCUUCCUUGACUUAUUUCUUAAACUUAGAACAUCAAGUGCCAGGAUUAACCAUUUGUUGGUUCUAGUCUAAUAGAAAGCCGAUGUUGUAGAAGAAAUUCAUCAAAAGAAACCAGUUGGCUUUUAAAGGACUGAACUCCCUCAGAAAGCAGUGGGCAUUCGGCCAGUGGCCUCUUGGGUUGAUUGAACUCAGGGCUUCGUGUGUUUCUACAGUAGAAGCACAGCUUUUAAAGAAUGCUCAGUAAACCAGGUGCAUUAAAUAACCCAGUGUUGAGUCUCCAUGGGGAUUUGACAAGAAAGGAUGGGAAAACCAAGAUUCCAACACUAUGUGGACCUUAAAUUCCACGCCUUUCUUGAUUCAUCAUUUCAUUUCCAGAAAUUGAUUAUAAGUAAACAAUCAAGAUUUAUUUGUAGCACUGUUUACAAUAAUUUUUAGAGUGGUGACAAUCUAAAUAUUCAGUAACAAAGGGCUUAUAAAUUGUGCUAAAGCAAUAAAAUACUAUGCAGCAAUUAAAAUCACAUUUUCAAGAUUAUUUAGUAACAUCAGUAGAUGAUCACAUUAUAUUUAGUGAGAAAAAAGUAGGCUCCAAACCUGAAUUUACAAUGAUAUCCCAAUUUUGUUCUUUUAAAAAGGAAAUAUAGAUAGGUAGAUAGAUAACUGACAUAGAAAUAGGGACAAUUUUCAUGCAGUUACUUGUAUAGAACACCAACCUAAAACAGAACUUAAAAUGAAAGUCAGUAUUCCAAAAAUUGUGCUUUAAAUACAUGGUAGAGCUCUGGCUGGUAAAACCAACCAAUUUGCCAACCAAACAGCAACCACAAAAAUCCUGUCUUCCUGAAUAGAAAUCAAUGUUUUAAUGUAUCCAGUUGGGUUUUAGAUAACAAACUGGUUUAUCAAUUAGUAAUACUGAACUAGUAACUAAGUCAUGUUUGUGUUGUGUUAUGACCAGCUCCAUCCCCACAGGGAAAGUGAGAAAGUUGGUUUUUUUUACUUCCAGUCUUUCCUUUGGUGUC